GGCGCGGUGCCUUCCGAGUUCCCUGGAACGGGACGCCUUAGAGGGUGAGAGCCCCGUACGGUUGGACACCAAGCCUCUGUAAAGCUCCUUCGACGAGUCGAGUAGUUUGGGAAUGCUGCUCUAAAUGGGAGGUAAAUUUCUUCUAAAGCUAAAUAUUGGCCAGAGACCGAUAGCGCACAAGUAGAGUGAUCGAAAGAUGAAAAGCACUUUGAAAAGAGGGUUAAAUAGCACGUGAAAUUGUUGAAAGGGAAGCGUUUGCGACCAGACCUUUUCCUAGCGGAUCAUCCGGUGUUCUCACCGGUGCACUUCGCUAAGUUUAGGCCAGCAUCGGUUUCUGUAGGGGGAUAAAAGCUCUGGGAACGUAGCUCCUCCGGGAGUGUUAUAGCCCUCUGCAUAAUACCUUUACGGGGACCGAGGACCGCGCUUCGGCAAGGAUGCUGGCGUAAUGGUCGUCAACGACCCGUCUUGAAACACGGACCAAGGAGUCGAACAUUUGUGCGAGUGUUUGGGUGUUAAACCCUCACGCGUAAUGAAAGUGAACGGAGGUGAGAGCCCUUACGGGUGCAUCAUCGACCGAUCCUGAUGUCUUCGGAUGGAUUUGAGUAAGAGCAUAACUGUUCGGACCCGAAAGAUGGUGAACUAUGCGUGGAUAGGGUGAAGCCAGAGGAAACUCUGGUGGAGGCUCGCAGCGGUUCUGACGUGCAAAUCGAUCGUCAAAUCUGCGCAUGGGGGCGAAAGACUUAUCGAACCAUCUAGUAGCUGGUUACCGCCGAAGUUUCCCUCAGGAUAGCAGUGUUGUUCUUCAGUUUUAUGAGGUAAAGCGAAUGAUUAGGGACUCGGGGGCGCUUUUUUGCCUUCAUCCAUUCUCAAACUUUAAAUAUGUAAGAAGCCCUUGUUACUUAAUUGAACGUGGGCAUUCGAAUGUACCAACACUAGUGGGCCAUUUUUGGUAAGCAGAACUGGCGAUGCGGGAUGAACCGAACGCGGGGUUAAGGUGCCGGAGUGGACGCUCAUCAGACACCACAAAAGGUGUUAGCACAUUUAGACAAUAGGACGGUGGCCAUGGAAGUCGGAAUCCGCUAAGGACUGUGUAACAACUCACCUAUCGAAUGUGCUAGCCCUGAAAAUGGAUGGCGCUCAAGCGUCCCACCCAUACCUCGCCCUCAGGGUAGAAACGAUGCCCUGAGGAGUAGGCGGCCGUGGGGGUCAGUGACGAAGCCUAGGGCGUGAGCCCGGGUCGAACGGCCUCUAGUGCAGAUCUUGGUGGUAGUAGCAAAUACUUCAAUGAGAACUUGAAGGACCGAAGUGGAGAAAGGUUCCAUGUGAACAGCGGUUGGACGUGGGUUAGCCGAUCCUAAGCCAUAGGGAAGUUCCGUUUCAAAGUGGGCACUUGUGCCCCGUGUGGCGAAAGGGAAGCCGGUCAAUAUUCCGGCGCCUGGAUUUGGGUUUUGCGCGGCAACGCAACUGAACGCGGAGACGACGGCGGGGGCCCUGGGCAGAGUUCUCUUUUCUUCUUAACAGUCUAUCACCCUGAAAUCGGUUUGUCCGGAGCUAGGGUUUAA
rnacentral:rRNA from 1 species